GACGGUAGGGGGCCAGCGUUGUUCGGAAUUACUGGGUGUAAAGGGGUGCGUAGGCGGUGCGGAAAGUUGGGUGUGAAAUCCCUCGGCUCAACCGAGGAACUGCGCCCAAAACUACCGUACUCGAGGAAGAUAGAGGUGAGCGGAACUUACGGUGGAGCGGUGAAAUGCGUUGAUAUCGUAAGGAACACCCGUGGCGAAAGCGGCUCACUGGGUCUUAUCUGACGCUGAUGCACGAAAGCUAGGGGAGCAAACGGG
rnacentral:rRNA from 1 species